GUUCUCCUUCCUGUGCCGAGUGUGGUUUGCUAUCAAGCGGUGGCAGUUCAGCCACAAUCAGGGGCAGGGGGAGGGAGAGGCCCCCCGAAGAGGCAGAGGCCCUGCCUCGGCCGCCCUGAGCCUGGAAGGUGAUUGGCUAGAGCGACUCCCGGCCGGGAGCGGAAUGAAUGGCGGGGACCGGGGCCUCUGGGUGGUGCGAGCAUCAUGUUGCCUUUUAAUAUGGAGCAUGUGCCAUAGCUCUCCAGGAGAACCCCUCUGUGUCACAGCGAACCUCAGUCACUGACACUCAAAAGAAGGAAUUAUUUCAACUCAAUAAUAAACAAAUAACCCUAUUUUAAAAUC